rnacentral:rRNA from 1 species
UUGGUGACCAGCGGAGGGAUCAUUACAAGAAGCCGAAAGGCUACUUCAAACCAUCGCGAACUCGUCCAAGUUGCUUCGGCGGCGCGGCACCCCUUAACGGGGGCGCCGCAGCCCUGCCUCUCCGGAGGUUCGGGGCGCCCGCCGGAGGUACGAAACUCUGUAUUAUAGUGGCAUCUCUGAGUAUAAAACAAAUAAGUUAAAACUUUCAACAACGGAUCUCUUGGUUCUGGCAUCGAUGAAGAACGCAGCGAAAUGCGAUAAGUAAUGUGAAUUGCAGAAUUCAGUGAAUCAUCGAAUCUUUGAACGCACAUUGCGCCCGGUAGUACUCUACCGGGCAUGCCUGUUCGAGCGUCAUUUCAACCCUCAAGCCCUGCUUGGUGUUGGGGCCCUACGGCUGCCGUAGGCCCUGAAAGGAAGUGGCGGGCUCGCUACAACUCCGAGCGUAGUAAUUCAUUAUCUCGCUAGGGAGGUUGCGGCGUGCUCCUGCCGUUAAAGACCCAUCUUUAACCAAGGUUGACCUCGGAUCAGGUAGGAAUACCCGCUGAACUUAAGCAUAUCAAUAAGCGGAGGAAAAGAAACCAACAGGGAUUGCCCUAGUAACGGCGAGUGAAGCGGCAACAGCUCAAAUUUGAAAUCUGGCUUCGGCCCGAGUUGUAAUUUGUAGAGGAUGCUUUUGGUGAGGUGCCUUCUGAGUUCCCUGGAACGGGACGCCAGAGAGGGUGAGAGCCCCGUACAGUCGGCCACCGAUCCUUUGUAAAGCUCCUUCGACGAGUCGAGUAGUUUGGGAAUGCUGCUCAAAAUGGGAGGUAUAUCUCUUCUAAAGCUAAAUAUAGGCCAGAGACCGAUAGCGCACAAGUAGAGUGAUCGAAAGAUGAAAAGCACUUUGAAAAGAGGGUUAAAUAGCACGUGAAAUUGUUGAAAGGGAAGCGCUUGUGACCAGACUUGUGCCGGGCUGAUCAUCCAGUGUUCUCACUGGUGCACUCGACCCGGCUCAGGCCAGCGUCGGUUUUCGUGGGGGGAUAAAAGCUUCGGGAACGUGGCACCUUCGGGUGUGUUAUAGCCCGUUGCUUAAUACCUCCGUGGAGACCGAGGUUCGCGC